UACGUAGGGUCCGAGCGUUGUCCGGAAUUAUUGGGCGUAAAGGGCUCGUAGGCGGUUUGUCGCGUCGGGAGUGAAAUCCACUGGCUUAACUGGUGGCUUGCUUUCGAUACGGGCAGACUGGAGGUAUGCAGGGGAGAACGGAAUUCCUGGUGUAGCGGUGAAAUGCGCAGAUAUCAGGAGGAACACCGGUGGCGAAGGCGGCUUGCUGGGCCUUACCUGACGCUGAGGAGCGAAAGCGUGGGGAGCGAACAGG
rnacentral:rRNA from 1 species